rnacentral:rRNA from 1 species
GACGAACGCUGGCGGCGGGCCUAAUACAUGCAAGUCGAACGAACCGCGACUAGGUGCUUGCACUUAGGGAAGGUGAGUGGCGAACGGGUGAGUAAUACGUAGGUAACCUCUUUCAUAUCGGGGGAUACGAGAGGCAAACGACGCUUAAGACGGCAUAGGACAGAGGGUGAAAUCAUCCAGUGAGGAAAGGUGGCGCAAGCAAGCGAGAAGACAUGGACCUGCGGUGCAUGAGCUAGUUGGUAGGGUAAAGGCCUACCAAGGCGAUGAUGCAUAGCCGACCUGAGAGGGUGAUCGGCCACAUUGGAACUGAGACACGGCCCAGACUCCUACGGGAGGCAGCAGUAGGGAAUCUUCCGCAAAGGGCGCAAGCCUGACGGAGCAACGCCGCGUGAGUGAAGAAGGUCUUCGGAUCGUAAAGCUCUGUUGUUAGGGAAGAACAGCGGAUGGAGUAACUGUUAUGCGUGUGACGGUACCUAACCAGAAAGCCACGGCUAACUACGUG